rnacentral:rRNA from 1 species
CCUACGGGUGGCAGCAGUGAGGAAUAUUGGUCAAUGGACGAGAGUCUGAACCAGCCAAGUAGCGUGAAGGAUGACUGCCCUAUGGGUUGUAAACUUCUUUUAUAAAGGAAUAAAACGAGGCACGUGUGCCUUUUUGCAUGUACUUUAUGAAUAAGGAUCGGCUAACUCCGGGCCAGCAGCCGCGGUAAUACGGAGGAUCCGAGCGUUAUCCGGAUUUAUUGGGUUUAAAGGGAGCGUAGAUGGGUUGUUAAGUCAGUUGUGAAAGUUUGCGGCUCAACCGUAAAAUUGCAAUUGAUACUGGCAGUCUUGAGUACAGUUGAGGUAAGCGGAAUUCGUGGUGUAGCGGUGAAAUGCUUAGAUAUCACGAAGAACCCCGAUUGCGAAGGCAGCUUACUAAACUGUGACUGACAUUGAUGCUCGAAAGUGUGGGUAUCGAACAGGAUUAGAUACCCUGGUAGUC